UAGGCCUAUGGUUAACUGGUCUUAAGAUCUCUGCAGGGUAAAUCCAGACAGCUAGCUAGACUGUCUGUCCAAUCUGAGGACUAUGUUGUGCUGACACACCA